rnacentral:rRNA from 1 species
AAUGAACGCUGGCGGCGUGCUUAACACAUGCAAGUCGAACGAGGCGGAGGGGGCAACCCCUCCAGUCGAGUGGCGGACGGGUGAGUAACACGUGGGUAACCUGCCCGGAAGUGGGGAACACCUCGGGGAAACUCGAGCUAAUACCGCAUGACAUCUUCGGGACGAAAGUCCUGACGAUCAAAGCGGGGCCGCAAGGCCUCGCGCUUCCGGAUGGGCCCGCGCCCGAUUAGCUAGUUGGCGAGGAACGGCUCACCAAGGCUUCGAUCGGUAACCGGCCUAAGAGGGCGAUCGGUCACACCGGAACUGAGACACGGUCCGGACUCCUACGGGAGGCAGCAGUGGGGAAUCUUGCGCAAUGGGCGAAAGCCUGACGCAGCAACGCCGCGUGGAGGAUGAAGGCCCUUGGGUUGUAAACUCCUGUCGGC